GCUACCGUGGGUGGCGUGGUGGGCCGAGAGCUUUUGCAACAGGCUCAGGUAGUAGCGCACCCGUUCGUGGCAGGCCAGCAGCA
rnacentral:tRNA from 1 species